rnacentral:rRNA from 1 species
CACACUAUCAUUAACUGAAUCCAUAGGUUAAUGAGGCGAACCGGGGGAACUGAAACAUCUAAGUACCCCGAGGAAAAGAAAUCAACCGAGAUUCCCCCAGUAGCGGCGAGCGAACGGGGAGGAGCCCAGAGCCUGAAUCAGCAUGUGUGUUAGUGGAAGCGUCUGGAAAGGCGCGCGAUACAGGGUGACAGCCCCGUACACAAAAGCGCAUGUGCUGUGAGCUCGAUGAGUAGGGCGGGACACGUGGUAUCCUGUCUGAAUAUGGGGGGACCAUCCUCCAAGGCUAAAUACUCCUGACUGACCGAUAGUGAACCAGUACCGUGAGGGAAAGGCGAAAAGAACCCCGGCGAGGGGAGUGAAAAAGAACCUGAAACCGUGUACGUACAAGCAGUGGGAGCCCCACCACUAAGCCAGUGGUGAACUCCACAUACGCAUCCUUUGCUGAGGAUACGGUUAACGGAGCGAAAGCGACGUUCAACCUCAAAAGAAGCAGAGGGGGCUUAGUGGUGGGGUGACUGCGUACCUUUUGUAUAAUGGGUCAGCGACUUAUAUUCUGUAGCAAGGUUAACCGAAUAGGGGAGCCGGAGGGAAACCGAGUCUUAACCGGGCGUUAAGUUGCAGGGUAUAGACCCGAAACCCGGUGAUCUAGCCAUGGGCAGGUUGAAGGUUGGGUAACACUAACUGGAGGACCGAACCGACUAAUGUUGAAAAAUUAGCGGAUGACCUGUGGCUGGGGGUGAAAGGCCAAUCAAACCGGGAGAUAGCUGGUUCUCCCCGAAAGCUAUUUAGGUAGCGCCUCGUGAAUUCAUCUCCGGGGGUAGAGCACUGUUUCGGCUAGGGGGCCAUCCCGGCUUACCAACCCGAUGCAAACUGCGAAUA